AGUUUGAUUAUGGCUCAGAUUGAACGCUGGCGGGAUGUUGCCACACGCAAGCUGGAACGGCAGCACGGACUUCAGUCUGGUGGCGGCGAACGGGUGAGUAAUGUAUCGGAACGGUGUUUAGUAGCGGGGAUAACUACGCGAAAGUAGCGACACGCAUACUGCCCUUCGGGGAAGAAUCUUCGGGCCUCGCACUAUUAGAGCGGCCAUAUCGAUAUCAGUUGGUGGGGUAACGGCUCACCAAGGCACAGAUCCGUAGCUGGUCAGAGGACGACCAGCCACACUGGGACCGAGACACGGCCCAGACUGCACAGAAAGGGCAGUGGGGAAUUUUAAUGGGGGGAAACCCUGAUCCAGCCAUCCUGCGAAAGAUGAAGGCCUUUGCCGGAAGUACUUUCUUGGCAGGAGAAACGGCACGAUAAUACCGUGCAACUGACGGUACUCGCAGAAUAAGCACCGGUUAACUACGCCGCAGCCGCGGUAAUAGGUGCAAGCGUUAAUCGGAAUUACUGGGCGUAAAAGCGUGCGCAGGCGGUUCGGAAAGAAAGAUGUAAAUCCCAGAGCUUAAACUUUAAACUGCAUUUUUAACUACCGAGCUAGAGUGUGUCAGAGGGAGGGAAUUCGUGGCAGUGAAAUGCGUAGAUAUGGAGGAACACUGAUGGCGUAGCGCAGCCUCCUUGGAUAAUACUGACGCUCAUGCAACAAAGCGUGGGGAGCAAACAGGAUUAGAUACCCUGUAGUCCACGCCCUAAACGAUGUCGGUCUAGCUGUUGGGGCCUUCGGGCCUUGGUAGCAGCUAACGUGGAAGUUGGACCGCCUGGGAGUACGGUCGCAAGAUUAAAACCUGAAAGGAAUUGAUUGGGACCCGCACAAGCGGUGGAUGAUGUGAUUAACGCGAUGCAACGCGGAAAACCAACACCGUCACCCUUGACAUGUCUGGAAUCCCGAAGAGAUUUGGAUGCCCAAGAGAACCGGAACACAGGUGCUGCAUGGCUGUCGUCAGCUGUGUCGGAGAUGUUGGGUUAUCCCGCAACGAGCAACCCUUGUCAUUAGUUACAUGAAAGGGCACUCUUAAUGAGACUGCCGGUGACAAACCGGAGGAAGUGGACAUCAAGUCCGCGGCCCGGCGGUAGGGCUUCACACGUCAUACAAUGGUCGGGACAGAGGUCGCUAACCCGCGAGGGGGAGCUAAUCCUAGAAACCCGAUCGUAGUCCGGAUCGCAGUCUGCAACUCGACUGCGUGAAGUCGGAAUCGCUAGUAAUCGCGGAUCAGCAUGUCGCGGUGAAUAUGUUCCCGGGUCUUGUACACACCGCCCGUCACACCAUGGGAGUGGGUUUUACCAGAAGUAGUUAGCCUAACCGUAAGGAGGGCGAUUACCACGGUAGGAUUCAUGAUCAGUAAGGCCGUAACAAGGUAG
rnacentral:rRNA from 1 species